CUCCCUCCCAACUUAACGUGUGUGCAGCAGGAGAAACCAUUGAAUAGAGUGGAUGACGAGACAAAUACUAUUUAUCCGAAGCACUGAAUACAAUAAACAAAAGAGAAAAGCAUCCUUGGUGGCCCACAUGAUCAACACAAGACAAGCUUCUGUCAGAUACUGAUUCAAAAGCAAAUCUACCUUGCAAAUACUGCAGUAUUCAAAACUACAACGGAAUAGCAGAUAUUAAAUAAGAAACAGUGGCUUCUGAGACAUGAGCACAUUACCUGCACUGCAAAGAGGAGAGAGUGACUAAACACUGAAGUAUGGGACAUCCCACCAAAUCCCUGCCUAUCCAGGGUUUAGAUUGUCUCAGUCUCAGCGUAACAGGGCCCUUGCACUGGAUUUAGGUGGUCUCAAAAAUUCCAAGUGCUGCCAGAAAUGGAACCACAUCAGAAAGGACAGCAUGGAGCCUGUUGACCUCUGGGAUGAUGUUUCCAACUGUCGUUGUGGAGACAGACCAAAAACCCUGGAGCAGAGAGCCCAGAAGCAGCACCACAGGUGUCUGGCUCAUUCUCUGAUUGCAAUAUCAAAUUAAAUCGCGCCUGAGGUGCUUCUUGCAAAGGGUACACACAGCUCUGUGACUGGUGGAGUGUUCGAUAGGAUUCUUUUUGAGAUCUUGGGUGGACAGCCACAUUUCUUGGCACCUACAGCCACAGAAAUCCAGCUGAAAGUGAUCAACUUAGAGAACACGCUGCAUAUUCUGGUACAGGUGUAGCUGAGUGCUGAGGCUGAUAGCUGCCUGGAAGGAAUGGGGCAGAGGACCUCAAGGCACACCCGUUCUUCAGCGCCAUCGACUUCACCCUUGACACCAGGAAGCAGCCUGUACCCUAUGUCCCCACCAUCAGCCAUUCCAUGGACGCCUCCAAUUUUGACUGGGUGGAUGAAGAAAGCCACUGGCAGCCAGAGGGAUGAGAGCUAAGGCCUGGGACAUUGCCGCAUCCUCCAACAGCGAGCACCCAGAGCACUCUGUCUAAGAGUUCACCUUCCACAGAUUCUUUGACGACAAUGGCUUCCCUUUCUGGUGCCCGAAGAUGUCAGAGCCGGCCAAGAGCACAGACACAAGGGAUGCAGAACUGGAGGGCAUGGCUAAGAGAUGCCAGCCAGUGUACAUGUAAGCAGCCUGUGGACUCAGUUGAUAGCAUCUCUUGAGAAUCUGGUCAUUGUCAAGAAAAUCCCAAACAAGAUUUUUUAAAAGACAAACUCAAGUUGAGGAAUCCUUCAUUUCUAGUUCUGGUUAAUGGGCAACAGGGAGAGUCACCAUGACUUUGAAUUGGUCCUUUUAUAAUGUUCACUGCAUUAAAACACUUUUUUUUUAAAUUUAGUACACUAUCGAAAAAGCACUUAUUUUAUGGAUAAACAUUUUUUCCUAAUAAAUUAUAAGGAUUAAUACUGACAAAUCAUGGUGUUGUUACUUCCAUUUGUGUUUUAUAUCUGGUAGCACUUGUCCACAUUUAGAGAAAGGUAAGAAGAAAUAACAAACAUGUGCUAAGGCAUCUAUGUAAUAAGGAAGAGAACAACACCUGGCUCUGCUCCAAGUCACGAAGACCAUUUAUCUACCCAGUGGCUUUGUUUUAUAGUUUUCCCACAUUUUAAAAUUGUGACAUAAUGUUUAAAAGCUGCUUUCAUGCUUUUUCCCCUCCACACAUUAUUGUAUACUAGAAACAGUGAACAGAAAUGAUGGGUGAUUCCAGUGUCUAGUGUGUUGAAGGCACUGCCUGAGCAGUUUUCAGUUAUAAAAUUACCAUUUCUUGUUGUUCACAGCAGAUACUGUGAAUUUUUUUAAAAUGAAGUAUUCUAGAGAAUGUGCUGAUAAUGUAUUGUGUGGGUGAUGAUUGUAGCCCUUAUUGUUAAAGAAAUGCAUAUGUGUCACUGAAGUGUGUGUUUUUUUGUUUGUUUGUUAUUGUUUUUUAAUGAGAUUGUCUUGUAUAGGACUGGGUUCUUUGGGAGGCAAAUGUAAACUUUUGUCAUAUAUAAAACACAUCAAAAGGAUUAAUUCAGCUAUGCCAAAACAUUGGACAUAAUCAUAGCACAUUGUCAAUUUCUCUAGCCCAUUAUGCUUUAAGUCUUGGUAUGUGUAAAGUGGUAGUGGGGACACUACUAAUUAAGUAUUUACUAACAUGUUUUGAAGUACAAAAACAAGCCAUAUAAUUUUUUUAGAGAUAAAGGUGUAUAUAUAACUAUAGAUAAACAAAAAAUACUGCGUAUUUCAAAUCAGUAUUUUUAUUUAAAGUGAAUUAUAUUGGAAUAAUUCAAUUUAUUUUGCUUUUGAAAAGAUAGAAUGCAUCACAUUUUCAUUAUACUAUUCUACAUAUUUUCCUUGAGGUUCUUAGCAUAAUGUAUCUGUUACUUAGUAUGUAUCUAGGCAGAAACACAAAUUUAUCUAUGUAUAAGAAAUAUUACUGUGUCCUGGUUUACAUGUGUAUGAAUGGCAUAUUCUCAAGAUAUUUUGAGGUAUGACAUGUUAUUUACAGCACUCUGACAUAGAUUCAUGUGGUUGGUUGUAUCUCAGCAACUCAAUUUACGUAUUAUUUAUUGAUAUAUCAUUGCCUUUGAAAGUUUCGACUGGGACAAUUUAUUAUUAAAACUUUAAACCCAAGCAAAAAAUAUCCAAAUGAAUGUAUUACUGACUGAGGUGUCUCGCUAGCUCUACACAGUAUAACCUCAAAGACAAAAGUAACAUAAUUAAUGAAGAAAGGGGUCACAAUGCUAAACACUAUGUAAGUCACAGUGCCCUCCUCCAUCACUAUUUAUAUAUUGUCCUCUGUGUUCCUCCAGUUUUAAAAUGUACCUUCUGAAUUAUUUGAAUAUUUUCUGAAUAAAUAUCAGAAAAUAUGCAAGUGCGAGGGCAUUCAAGUCACAGCCCCACAUAUGCAAUGCAGUAAGCAUAGCAUAGAGUAAGCUGCUCUUAUUUAUGUCUCAGACUCAAGUAAAUUUGGGACUAAAACAAAGAACCUAUAGUACAUAUGUAGGGACUUAAUGGAUUUAUAAUGAAAUUACCUAUGAUCAUCUAUGCGUAUUUUCAAUUUACCAGGAAAACCAUAUAUGAAACACUAAGUCUUUCCAACAACCACCUGAGUUCUGCCUGCCAUUUUAGGGCCCAAAAUAACAACAGAUACUUAUAACAGGUAAAAGCUAUUCACAGUAUCUUAAUUAGAACAAAAUUUUGCCGUUGAUUAAGUGACACAUUCCAGGUUACAGUCACCUAUAUACUUACAUCUAGUAUCAAAUAGGUUAUAUUUAUGUAUUAUUUAUUGAUAAUUCCCUACAAUUCUCUACAAUUCUCAUGUCAGUACGUAGCAAAAUUAAUUUGUUGAUAUGCUUUGAAACUUUCAUGGAUAAUUCUAACAUUUGUCCCCUAUAAUUACACAGUUUUUCAUGAAGGACAAUCCUAUGGUAUGAAAUUAAUCACAGACCCUUCUGUUUCAAAUUCCAUGAUCAUGUGGUUAACUUCAAUACUAGGUUUGAAUAUUCAGAAGCAAUUCCCUGAAUUAUUUGUGAAAUGUUUAAGGACUUAAUACAGAUUUUUGAGUAAAAAGAUAAGACAUAUUUAUAUCAAAAGUUUCAUGAGUAGGUUUUAAUCAUGAACAUGUCAAGCAUCUGGUAAAGUAAGGCUUUAUGUCUCCAUCAGGAUAUAAUUAAAAGAACAUAAAUAAUGAAUCUGUGAAAAAGUAUUGAACUGAGUUUUGGAAAUUCAUAUACACUGUGUGAGUAUAUGUGACUUUGAGAGGUAUGGUAAAGGAGCUGACCAGCUUAGAGCUGGGCAGGAUUAAGUUAUGAGGGAAAAGCAGACAAGGGAGAGGUUCGGGCACUGUGUUGAGAACUGGAAAAUGAUGACCUUAAUU